ensembl:lncRNA
AUGUUCCGUGUGGCUCUCGGAGCCUGGUCGUGGGAGUGGCUGGGUGCUGGGUGUGUGCACGUGGCCGUCGGCGUGGCUGUGUGUGGCUCUGCGCGACCCAUGUGCGCCUCUGGGCGGAGGCCACUGUCGCGGAUGCGUGUGCCUGCGCGCAGCCCUGCGACGCUGUCUCCGGGUGCGCCCGCGGGUCCGGCGGUGGGGUCGUGCGCACCUGUGCCGCUGCCCGGUGGGUUCCUGGCAUGGCGUGUUGUGUGUGCAAGCGAGGUGAGGCGCCCUCGACUGUGUGUGUCCCUGUGCGUCCCUCGGGGACUCGGCUGUGUCACCGUGUGUGACUGUGACUCUGUGUGUGACAGCAUGCCCCUCCAACCACCUUCCUUGGGUGGCUUUGAUGUGGUUGAGCCUCUAGGGGACAUAAGGACGCCUGCCUCACUCGUGAGGACUUCAAAAGAUGGCUGUCCUUUCUGCCCAGCGGGGGGGUGGGGGACCCAUUUCCCCCUCACCCUUACCCUCUCCUCCGCCUGGAGGACAGGCCUGUUUGUUUUCCUAUUUUUACUGCCUCAGAUGAGUUCAUGGCCGCAACUGACUCACCACUCUUUCCGAGAGACUUGGGGAAGGAAACAGGGGUUGCUUGGUUGGGGCCUCUGCCCACUAGCCCCGGGGGCUUUCAGAGCAGGGCCAAGGAAGGCAUCCGGGUCCACUGCAGGCUGUGUGAGCACCUCAAGCCAGUCCCCCUCCAAGAGCCUGGAGGGUCCGCCAGCCUCCUUUAGAGGUCGUUGUUUAGUCCCUGCCUCCUAUCCCGGACGAGAGGCCUCUCUCCUUGUCUUAAGAGCUCUCUCCUCCCUUUCGUCACCAGGUCAGUUGAAAAGCAAGCCGGAGCUUUGGGGUGCAUGUGACGUCUCCCUCAGAUCCCCGUCCCUGCAGGUCUUCGGUGGCUUCCCCAACUUCGCAGGACCUCAGUCACCUUAGAAGACAUCGGUACCCUCCCCCGGUCCAGCCGGUGAAGCCAUUUCCACCAGUCAUUGUCAAGCUUCCUCUGAGGUCCCAGUGAGGAGCCCACUGCCCUCCAAGCUAGCCCAUUUCAUUUCAUUCCAGGCAGGCUGUAGUUACUGGGGCUUCGUCCAGCCAAGGCAACCCAGCCUGGCUCAACUUCUGCUGCCGCCGGGACGUUUUCUGUAAUCUCUUGCUCUGUGGUCCUGGCUUUGGCAUUCCCUGCCUUCACCCGAGCCAUUGUUCCGGGACUUCUCUUCCUUGCCACAGGGCUCUGAGCCUCCUGGGGACAGGGUGCCGGAACUAGCAUAGGUGCUCAGUCGCCGGGUGUCUUUUCGAUGGCACGUACCCACAUGCACACCCGUGUCCAGAUAAGCGCGUGCCCACGUGUGUGCAGCUCUGGCCCCGUGCAUUCUGGGUGCUCCCAGGGCCGGCAGGUUCUGACACAGGGGGCUGUCAGAGAUCAUUUCGGGAGGCCCCAUGGUUCCCAUUCUUUUGUCACGAUGCUUAGGGACCCCUGCCCUGAGUCUCAGGCGCUCCAGAUCCCCCAGCUCUCCUCCCCUCUCCCUCCAGGGUAGUGGCACAGCUGACAAAGAGAUCUGAGGUCCCUUCUCCACGCUCCUGGAGCCCCCAAGCUGUCACAGCACCAAUUAGUUUUGUGAUGGGAUUGCCCCACGCUCCCACUCCCCGACCCCCUCCCUGCAUUACUUUCCUCCACAGCACACGCCCUUCUACAGGCUAUAUCACUUGCUUCUUUCUCUGAACCAUUUCGUUUCCCUUUUCUAGAACCUGAGCUCCUUGAGGGCUGGGAUUUGGGGCUCUUCUGUUCAUGUGUGGAUCCUCAGUGCCUAGAAUAUGACCUGGCAUACAGGGCUUAUCAUCUCUAGAAUGAAUGAAGGUCAUUGAUAUUUUUUUAACUUUUAAUUUAUUUGUAAAUGUUUAUUUCUUUUGGGGGGAGGGCAGAGAGAGGGGGAGACAC